GUCCAUGUAGCUUACAACAAAGCAUGACACUGAAGAUGUCAAGAUGGCUGCUAUAAAACACCCAUGGACA
rnacentral:tRNA from 1 species